UAGAAGCGACGCAUGCGC
rnacentral:snRNA from 1 species